rnacentral:rRNA from 1 species
AUUCCAGCUCCAAUAGCGUAUAUUAGAGUUGUUGCAGUUAAAAAGCUCGUAGUCGAAUUUCAGGGCGGCGGGCACGGUCUGCCGAUGGGUAUGCACUGUGUCGGCCGCCUUUCCUGCUGGGGUCCGCGUCUGCACUUAACUGUGCGGGCGCGGGGAACAGCGCGUUUACUUUGAGAAAAUCAGAGUGUUUAAAGCAGGCCAAGAUUGCUCUUGCAUGGAUUAGCAUGGGAUAAUGAAAUAGGACUUUGGUGCUAUUUUGUUGGUUUCGAGUACCGAAGUAAUGAUUAAUAGGGAUAGUCAGGGGCACUUGUAUUCCGUUGAGAGAGGUGAAAUUCUUAGACCAAUGGAAGACAAACUACUGCGAAAGCAUUUGCCAGGGAUGUUUUCAUUA